rnacentral:rRNA from 1 species
AGUGAACGCUGGCGGUAGGCCUAACACAUGCAAGUCGAACGGCAGCACAGGAGAGCUUGCUCUCUGGGUGGCGAGUGGCGGACGGGUGAGGAAUACAUCGGAAUCUACUCUGUCGUGGGGGAUAACGUAGGGAAACUUACGCUAAUACCGCAUACGACCUACGGGUGAAAGCAGGGGACCUUCGGGCCUUGCGCGAUUGAAUGAGCCGAUGUCGGAUUAGCUAGUUGGCGGGGUAAAGGCCCACCAAGGGGACGAUCCGUAGCUGGUCUGAGAGGUUGAUCAGCCACACUGGAACUGAGACACGGUCCAGAGUCCUACGGGAGGCAGCAGUGGGGAAUAUUGGACAAUGGGCGCAAGCCUGAUCCAGCCAUACCGCGUGGGUGAAGAAGGCCUUCGGGUUGUAAAGCCCUUUUGUUGGGAAAGAAAUCCAGCUGGCUAAUACCCGGUUGGGAUGACGGUACCCAAAGAAUAAGCACCGGCUAACUGCGUGCCAGCCGCCGCGGUAA